UCCUGACUCAGCUCUGACUGUCACUAAUCACCUGAUUGCCUUCACCUGCGCUCUCCCCUUUAUAUGGCUCUGCUCUCCACCUGCCCUCUGCCAGAACGUUGUCAGUCCUCUGCUAUGCCUACUCUGCUCUGCUCAGCUCCGUUCAGCUCAACCUUCAAAUUGGCCUUUCAGCCCAGCUCUGCCUCCAAAUCAGCCAGGCCUGCCCUGCCCCGUCCAAACUGUCUGCUUUGCCUGGAUCCUGCUGCCCUGCGCUAUCUGCCCAGCCUGAGAUAUCCGCUCCGUGCUGCCUUCCCCCAAGUGAAGACUCAAGACCUGUUCCUGUUCCGCCAUCCUGACAAUAAACCUGUUCUUAUCUCUACA